rnacentral:rRNA from 1 species
ACAUGCCUACAACAUAACGUUAAUGCACCGAAUCCCAUUAGAACUCAACAGUUAAGCAUGCUUAGGCUAGAGUAGUACUGGGAUGGGUGACCGCUUGAGAAGUCAUACUAUUUUACAUGCC